ensembl:lncRNA
CAGGUCCAAUUGCCCACUGACCUCUCACCUCACUCGGGAUGUGGUUUGUUGGGCACUUACAGCUUUUCCCUCUCGGCUCUCCAUCCGCACCCUUCAGUUGAAGGUCUUUUGCUGACAGGAUAGAGUUCCCCAAAGGACAAGGGCAGAGCUAGUGAGUCAUUUCAGCACCCCAAUUAGACUCUCUCCUCUGCCCAGAGACCACACGGCGUCUUAAUCAGCUGCUUGGAAGGUGUACCUGGCAGGCAUGUUCCCCACAGCCUGGAAGAUGCUGACCUUGUCAGCUGAGAAACAUCAAAGAGCUAAUGAGAGAACAGGGGUGAGAAAGACCUCACCACCUGGGUGCCUGUCGACCGCAGACUUGCAAGGCCUGACGCGGCUGAGAAAUGUUGUCAGGAGCUCGGAGGAAGUGGAGCCUUCUCUGCUCUGAGGACCUGCCCCCAGCCCCCUUCUGGGGCACAGGAAGGGGAGGGGGCGAAGCUAAAUGGUGGCCACAUGCUCAGUGACUCAGAUGUCACUGCUACCACAAAGGGAAAUCCGUGUGGGGGGUGCCACCUCCAGAGACCUCAUUCACCUGCGAUUCGGGGGAGAAUAGCAUCACCUCAGGUGCCAGGCCCAUUAGCCCCAGAACAUUAGUCAACCGGCCUGUGUUGACAUUUCUGAUUUCAGCUCACGGUUUACAUGAAGGACCUGGCCUCACCAAGAAGCUGAGCCCUCAGGAAGACAACAGCCUUUGGGUACUUCCUGUAGCUAAUGCUGAGCAGAGGAAGGAGAGUCCCCCCUCCAGACUCACCCAUCCAAGGAGCUGGUUUCAGGAAACUCAAGAAAUCAUAUGCUGCAGAAGGUUUGGAAAAGGUUGCCCAGGUUUUACAUGAAGAAAGGGACUCUAUCUGUGUGAUUCACCACUGAGUUCCCAGUACGCUGCAUGCUGCAGGCAUAUAGAAGCUCAGAUUCAUAGCUGAUAAAUCUUAAAGAGAGGAAAACACAGUCACAGGGAGUUCCCUUGCAUUGCCUGAAAUUCCACAGCAAGUCAGCGACAAAGCUGGGAGGAGACUCUGUCCUUCCAACUCACAGGCCAGUUCUCUGCGGGAAGCCGUUGUCUGUCUCCUCUUAGGCUCCUUUGGACGCCUCUGGGUGUCAGUUCUCCCAGGGGAAGCAGCGGCUGGGGUUGCGUCUUGAAGCUCGAACUGGCUUUGAGACUGUGCCUGAGACAGGGUGGGCAGGACUCAAAGGUCUGAAAAAGCUGGGAAGGGCCUGAUUUUGGUAAAAUUGGGCCUUCCUGUAGCAACUGGCAGGGGGAGUGACUUGGUCCUCGGGGCAGGAGUUCCCGUGGCCCAGAAUUGCCCAGCAGUCAAAUGUUAGGACACCGGUGUCUGGAGGAGCUCCUGGAAAGGGUCUUCCCGCAGCCUGGCCCUGUGGAGUUGAGGGAGGUUUGGGGAUCUCUCCUCCAGGACAGGCUCCAGAGAGCCCGCAGCAAAAGGGACAGUGUGCCUGCCCCGUGCCUCCCCUGUAGGGCUCUGCUCUGUUUCUUAAGGGGAAGGCUUCUAGCUAUAGUUUUGUGAGCUCCGUUCAGAAAGCUGCCUUCCCCAUGGACAACCCUGACUGGAUCAGAAUGUGAGCAGGAGGGAAACUGACUUUCUAAGAGUCUGUGCUUGGACUGGCCAGCCUUUGUUUCAAGGUCCUGAGAGCCAUGGGACUGAGAGUGUAGGACUGAAGCAGACUUUUGAACACCUACGUUUGCUGUGCCUCAGUUUCCCCACCAGGAGCCUGUUGUCCAGGGGUUUGGAAAGCCGAUCCAGGAAAACACCUGCGACUGUAGGCAGCUCUGGUCCUUCCGAGGCCCUGCUCAUCAGACUUCCCCAGGGUCAGACAUCCUUCCGCACAGCUCUUGUUCAGUCUGUGGCCCAAACAGCCUAGGGCAUGAUGGAGGCCCGGAACAAUGGUGGUUUUGCUUACACAGCGUGCUUGGCCGCUGGCUGGACUCACGCAAUGCUCACGGAACCGGUGUGGGCUGCCACAGCUUCCCUGUGGGACAUUUAGCUCCCUCACUUCAAGUCCAUCAAAGGACUUGUUAUCCUGGUCCCCUUUCUGUCCGUUGUUCCUCUCCCCUUGGGGCUGUCCUCUCACCCUCUCCUGCCAUCCCUCCUCUUUCCAAGCUCUUGCCCCACAGAACUGCAAGGACUCUGAGACCUGGGACGUCUCACGGAGCCGGCUUUUGUCAGGCCAGUCUCCAUCGCUCUGGGGAGUCUGAAGGCUUUUUCUUUUAAAGAUAAGUUGGGGAGAGGGUUAGAAGAGUGCUGAGAAGUGACGCCUGUUUCUUCUUUCUUUUCCUUUCCCCCUCUGGGGCUCAGAGACCAGGGUUUUUUUCUUUUUUACAGUACAAUUUGGCAGGCCCCAUCUUUUUCUGACAGAAAAAAAAUAACAGGCAUAUUUUGGGCGAUUACUCAACUGGGGUCCUUUGUGACAGGAUAUGCAGCUGCGUGACUAAUGGAGCUGGCUUUCUCCUGGCUUCCUUCCCCUUUCAGAGUUCUUGUUUACUGUGCUAUACCAAAAAAAAAAAAAAAUGCCAUAAGCUACAGAUUUUUAUUAAAAAAAUUGCCUUGAGAGAUACUCAAAGGCAAUAAAUCCUGGGAUACUCCAUUGCCAGGGCCGUGAGUCCACACCCUCUUCCACUUUUUCUUUUCAAAUGCUCAAGCCCUUGACUCAUGACAUGUGAAUCUUCUUCUCCCACCCCCACAUCCCUGUUUUCUUCUGAACAUAUGUCCAACAGAUCGUGUGUGUGAGUGUGAGUGUGUGUGUGUGCGUGCGCGCGUGCACGUGGUGGGGGAAGGGAGCAAGAUGGGAACCAUAUUUUUAGUGCUUAACUCAGCAAUUGCUAAAGGAAGGAAUAAUGACUUCCAGGGGCCUCAGGGCCUUUUUUUUCCCAAGGCCUAUGCAUUUCCAUAAUCUACGGCAAUUUUGUGGUGUAAGCAAAAGUUAUUACAAAACAUGGAACUAGCUUAACGAGGAAGGGUAUGUUCUAAACGGGGGAACUGUCUCUUUACAGAAGAAAUCCACGUUUGGAGGGCUUUGGAAUUCAGAAUCCUCAGGCUUCCCAUAGAACUUUUGGAAGAGACUUUCGCUAGCUUGUAGCGUUCAACAGCUGGAGCUGGCCUUUUAACUUUCCUAGAGAUCAACAAGCUUUUCGUUUCAAAAGGUAUAUGGCCUGUGGAUGGGAAAAAUUGACUAGCGACUUAGCUUUGAUAGAGACAGAUUGGUGUAGAUGAGGCACAAGAUUUGUGGCCAGGUGAUGGGUUGGAGCCUUGAUUGUGAAAUGGAGCAAGUCAUUUAAGAUCUGUAGGUCUCUGAUGUUAAGACAAGGAUAGCAUCUCCUCCUGCCUAGGUUGCUGGCAAGAAAAGUGAGACGAUAGCAGUCCAAGGCGUGGGGGGAGCUACAAAGAAGUAUGCAGUGAUCACUUCUAAUGCUCCUUCAUCCAAAGGGUGGGCUCAAGCAAGCAUUCAACAGAUGAGAGGGGCUUGUUCCAUGAGAACUAUGAUGCCAACUGAUGUGCAGGGGCGAGGGUACUCAUACGGUGACCCAGGAUGCAAUAUUGCAGGGGUGUUUUUGAGGCUGAUCUGGCCUCCAACUUUGCCCACACCCUAGUCAUCUUCCACGCAGGUCUCAGAAUCAGAACUUCGAUCAUGUUCCUUUCAGGAAACUGUCUCAUCGAACCCAGACAAAAGGCUCCGCUAACCUCAUUGUGCCUGCCUUUUCUUCUGUUAUGAAUUCAUUUUUUGGCGUGUACUCUGCCCUAGAGAGGUGAAUACCAGACACAGUCUACUCUGGCCCCUGGCCCAACAUUUUUACUGGAUGUUGGUUGGAGGCCCCCCCUCCUCCUUUACCUUCCGUCGGUUCCUCUUCCUGCUCCUCUCUGUUAAACCUUGCUCAUUUGUCAUUUCUUUUAAGAUUCCAUCUACAACUUAGCUCCUCCUAGAGUCUCCAUGACCAAGGACUCCUUGAGUGGACACUCCAAACCCUCCAGUAAACCAUAGCAACUAUCUUUUUUACUCCUCAUAGCUCAAGUCUAAUGUCCUCGGCAAGGGAAGUUGACUUGAUUUUGCCAGAGGGUAAACUGAGGCACCAGUCAGGGAACUAACUGGCCAGGGAUUACACAGCAAGUCCGCGACACAGACAGGAAUAGAAACCCCACAUCCUGAUUCCAUUUCGCCUGGAGUUUAAAGAGGCACCUUAGCUUGGAUAUCCCAGAAUAGCUUCUCCCAGGCCGACCAGCUGUGAAGUGAUGUGUUGCAAGGGUUAUUUUUUGCCUUGGCUUAAUGCUUAAAAAAACACCCCAAACUCCUAAAAUCGGCUAAGAAAAUCCGUUUCUCACAAUGCCCUCAGCUUGCGGAGUUUAAACCCAGUAUAUUACAUCAUGAACGCCUCCUGGCCUCCCUCUCACUCACAGUGACGCUCAGGUAUCUGAGUUAAGCUCAGAAAUCAUAGUUUAUUGAAGGAAACAGAUCAUUAAGUCACUCCACUGGACUGAAGCCGUCGACAUUGCUUAUUUGGAGAAGCUGAGCGUUGAAUAAUGCUCCCUUGAUUCAUGUGGACUGGACUAGCAGGAGCUGUUCAGCGAAGGGUGUGGCCAUCAGAUGGCAUGAGGCCCAUGGAGGCUGCUAGGAAGAGGGGAAGUGACAGUGGUGUGCUGGAGCUGGCUUGCACUGGCUUGUGAAGGCUGAUGGUUAAAUUUUCAGGAAUUUUGUGAUCCAGUCGGUAAACACAGCCAUUAUGAAAAAUUAAAUUGCAUAAACUUGCAAUUAAAUAAAUUAUAUUAACAACAAAGGUAUUAAAUACUAAAAAAAGAUCACAUUGUAAUCAUUCUGCUACAGUUUACUAUUAUCUAUGCUCUUGAUUUGUACGCCCAUUAUGUCUCUACGGUGGGAAUACCACACAGUGGGACGCUGCUGUGAACCUCUUCCCAAUUCCACACUCAGUAAUUGCACGUCAGGUAGGUUGAAAUCAGCCGUGGUAAGAGUAUUUACACCACAGAAGUUGGCAAACUCUACGAUUCAGGGUUUGAUUUAUUGUUUUGUUGCUUGUCUAGACUUAAGAAAGUGGUAGAGAACAUGUUAAUCAAGUAGAUUAAACAUAAACGUGUGCCAUAUCUUUUGCAACGACAUUGUGAAUAACACAGAGUCAAGGAACUAUUCUUCCAGGAUUCAAAAACGGUUAUCCAAUUCAGCAAAGAAGUCGCUCCUGUCAUUGAAAAAUGAAGUUCUGAAAUAGGUAUUUGUUGUUUUACUUUUUCUUACUUAUUAUUGUAAAUGCAAUAAUCAACCAACACUUAUGUCAAUUCUACACUUGGAAAGCUGAUUAUCAAACAUUUACCAGCACACUGGAGUGUAUAUGGACUACCUCCUUGGGGUCCCAGAGAAAGAACAUUGUAGUAUAGGUAGAACUCACCAGUAAGGAGCAUGUCGGGGGGACAGCCAUGGAAUAGGAGAUACUAAGCGCUGGGAAGACAGCAGCACAGAUGAUACAAUUUAGGGCCAGCAGCCAGAGACCAGCCCAUCAGGAUGGGCAUGUGGAAAAUAAACCAGAUAGGCUAAAUUGUACUACUGUAUCAACAAAGUUAGAUAGUGAAAAAAAAGCCAUGAUGACUUCUAAAUUCAAGGUGAGGAUUAAUAUCGUAUAUUCACAGCGCCUUACAGUUCUACAGCCUUCUUACGCAUGAGCUCAUAUGACCAUCAGAAAGAACUGUGGGGUAAAUGGGUAAAUUACCUAUCACCAUCAUACCCAUUUACAAAUGGGAAACUGAGGCAAUGGGUGGUUAACUAGUUUGCCCAAGAUUACUCUUUCUACAUAAAUGGCCAAGUUCGGUCUUGAUGGAGAAACAGAAAUGGCACAGACGUUUGGGGCAGUCACACCUGGGUUAAAAACCUAAGCUUGUCAUUUAUAUAACUUCGGUACGGUAACUUUACCUUUUUAAGCCUUGGGUUUUUGUUUUUUACUUUUUAUUGAGAUUAUGAUAGUUUACAACCUUGUGAAAUUUCAGUUGUACACUUUUAUUUGUCAGUCAUAUUAUAGGUGCACCACUUCACCCUUUGUGCCCACCCCCUAUGCCCCUUUUCCCCCGGUAACCACUAAUCUGUUCUCUUUGUCCACGUGUUUAACUUCCACAUAUGAGUGGAGUCAUACAGAGAUUGUCUUUCUCUAUCUCGCUUAUUUCACUUAACAUAAUACUUGGGGUUUUUUUUAAACCUAGAGAAUGGGGAUGAUAAUGCCUAGGUCACAAGUUUGUGGUGAGGGUUGGUUUAAAUGAGAUAAUAGGUGGCAAGGACCUGGUCCUCAGGAGGCCGUCGUAAAUGUUCAUUUCAAGGGAGGGAGAAACCAUGAUGUUUUAAAAUUAUUUACAUUUGAUUUUGAAAUGCAGAAUAAAACUCUUUUGACUAACAUAUUUACUUUUCUACUUAUAUUUUUUAGGUUUGGGUAAAAUUACUCUGCGUGGUUUUAGGCCAAACCAAUCUGAGGAGGUGGGGGCAGGGCCAGGGAGGAGGCAGAGGAGGCCCAGAAGAGAGCUAGCCUGGGACUCAGGUUUCACAAAGGCCUCUUUGCUCACUGGUAAUGGAGAGAAUCAAUACACGUUGUCACGUUCAGCAACACACAGCACCAUUCUUAGCCCCAACAGCUAGAGCUCCAGGUGGACUUCCCUUUCUAGACCUGGCCUCUAUGUCACCACCCGCAGAAAUGAGGAGGCCCAGCCUCUGACCCCUCUAUCCCCUAAAACACUCCCAGCCUCAGCACCACACUCUGCCUUGGGGAGGACUAUCUCCCAGGCAGCAGAGGCCUCGGCCAUUCCUCAUCUCCCUGGCCAGAGAGGCAGCCCUCACCCACCAGGACUCCUCCUCUUUCCUCCUGGAUUUACCUUUCUUCUUAGCACUCAUCAUCCUGUGCCAUACCAUGUAAUUUACUAGACUGGGAGCUCCAUGAGGGCAUUUGUUUAUUUCAUCUGGGACCUAGAACAGUGCCGGGGAACACAGAAGGUGCUCAGUAAGUAGUUACUCAAAGAAGAGGGUGUCGUCACCCCACUCCCGUUUUUUUCCUAUUUCAAAUAACAAUCCAUUUUUUGAUCAACUUCACUGGACUCAGAUUUGGCUUAUGUCUCACGAGGGUAAACCAUGGUGGUGAAGGGUGUCGUCAAAGGCCUGAGGCAGAGCUCCAUGAAGGCAUCCCUGAAGCUGGUCCUCUGACCAGCCCUCAGACACUGAACGAGCAAUCCAGCUCAGUGGUUAAGAAGAUGCUGGUUCAAAUCCAGCCCCUACCACUGAUUAGCUAUGCAACCUUAGGCAACUUAUUUCUUCUCUCUGAGCCUCGUUUUUCUUAUCUGUAAAAUGUGGGUAAAAAUAUCCAUAGGUGGUGGCAUGGAUUAAUGAGAAAAAGCAUGGUGAGUGCUUAGCACACAGCCUGGCAUGGGGAAAGGGAGCCAGUAUUCGUCGCACAGUGAAGGUGGUGGAGGCGCAGGAGGGGGAUUUGGGCAGCGUGGAAGAGCAAUUCUAGGACAGCUGGAAAAGCCACACGUGCUGAAGACCUUGGCUUCUGUAGACACAGAUGACACCUGAUCAGCACAGCAUGGGGAACUGCAAAGGGGCUCUGGAGCAGUGACACUGCCUCAGGAGGGCCUGGUGAAGCUUUGGGGCUGUCACCAUCGCGGCCUAGCUGGACCCAGAGGCUGUUGUAGUGACUUUGUGACUUCGUGUAACUUCAUGUAUGGUGUCUAACACAGCUUUCUCUCCUGGGCAAAAUAAUGGCAAACGUGCCUCAACAUGUAGGGAGGGUACCACGGCUGAAGCCACAGCUGAGAAUCAAGGACACAGGAGUCACGAGAUGCACAGAGGUGAGGACUACAGGGUUUAGAACAAUCGGGAGGACUCCUGGGAGGAGCCAUAGAACAAAGAGAGAGGGCGGCCUCAUUUUCCUCCCACGAGACAGUCAUGGUUUCAUUAUGGGAGGUGAGUGUCCAGGGGGCGUUGGAGGGAAGGGACAUGGUGAAGAGGCAGGAGGAGAGACAUCAAGGACAGGAAGCGGCAUGUAUGACAGCGUCAAGUCCGACGUGAAGAGGCCUGGGAGGGGAAGCAGGGCAAGUAGGGGUACCCAGGGAGCCACAGUCUAUCCGGCUUCGGGCAGGCCUGCAUAUAUCAAUCGCUGGCUGCACAGGCUGCCCCCUGAACUGGUCCCCCCGGGCCGGCCCAAUUUAGGCUCAAAGCUCCGCGUUCUGCUUGGUAUUUUAAAUGCUGUGGGUGCUCAAGACAGUAUAGGAUAUAUGAAGACCGGCCUGGAACAGGAGCCAGGAGAUUUAGUUUGAGGUGCCCGAAAUGUCGUUUUCUAACUUCGAUCUUGAGCCUCAGUUUCCUUGUCUGUGACACAGGGAGGAGCAUGCCUGGCUCCUUCACCGGGUCACUGCCAAGGCUGGAUGAGAUAGAGCAUUGAAAGGACGUGGUCAAUCUCUCAGGCCUGUCUGCCAUUACCCCCUGGGGCCUUUGGCUGUGGGUGCUCCGCGGACCACUCACUUCAGCAAGCCCACGGGGUAACGUGGCCCCUGGAGAGCAGCAGAGCUCUUCUGGUUGAUUCCGACCUCCUGCCAGCCUGCCUGCCUGUGGAGACGCGGCCCCUGGAAGCUGGGCAGAGAGCCUUGUCAGCCAGUCAGUGCAACUCAGGCGCUAAGCCAUGGCUGGACGUCCGCAAAGCACUUGGGGCUUUUUGCUUGAAAGCCACUGGAGAGAGCCAAAGCAUAUCUUCCCUCCUGUAUUCCUCAGCAGGGGGCUUCUGCCUCGCCCCAGAAGCACCUGUGCGGGUAUAGACACGCACACCUCCUGGACACUGAGUCUACCCCUGAUAGUGUGUGACACAGUGCAAAUUCCACUCUCCUGCAGCUACCUCUUCAACUACAGGCAUUCCAUGUAGCCUUAAUCUCCCCGGGCCUCAGUUUCCAGAGCUGCAAAUAGGAGCCAGAGAUGCUGUAAAUCCCCUACCUGCUGGGAAAUCUUCUGAAAGCUAUUAUGGAUAGUUUUAGAUUCUCUGGGACCCCAUGGGCCAGUCUGCAUUCCCAGACCAAAGCAGCCAUUCCCUCAUUCCAGCUCAGAGCGUUUGGUGUCCCCAGUUGUCACCCACUGUAUGGCUCUAGAGACAGCCUGCCAGGACAGGGUUCCAGCUUCCACUUACUAGCUGUGUGACUCUGGGCAAGUCACUUUAACCUCUCUGUGCCUAUAUUUUCUCAUCUCUGAAAGGAGGAAUUGGUUGUACUUAGCUCCUAGGUUGGUACAUAUGUAGUAUGAGCUCAUAUAUUUGAGUUGUGAGUUAAUGUCUGAGCUCAUACUGUAUACGUAAAGUCCUUAAACCAGUGCCUGGCACAUAGUAAGACUAAUUAUAAGUGGUAAAUAAUAAUAAUAAGUAUUAUUAUCCAUUUUCCACCCCAGCUAUUAUGCUGGCCCAUUUUCCUGACUUUCUCAGCAGACCCUCAGGGCCUGGCCCUAUCUGCUCCAGGUUUGCUGCUACCAUGAACCCCCAAAGACUCACGGAAGCAGCCGGUGGAAGAGAGGUUGUGCAAAGCGGGUUGGAAUGGAGGAUUGAGAAGAGGAUGUGACUGGGCUCAAGGGCAGGCGGGGGAGAAAAUAAACGCACAGGAACCAGGAUGAGGGAACAAUGCUCGGCCAGCCUCUCGGAGGCCCAUUAGCCCAAUGCGGAGCAGAGUGUCUGUGGAAUUGCUCCCGUAUCUGGGCUUCCCCAGCACCUACCUUAAUCUGCCUUUUAGUAACGUGUGUACCACAGUGGUAUAGAAUGAAUCCAGCUUUCCAGAUAUUGAGUUCACUGAGGGCGAGGCCUCAUCUUUGCAUUCCUUGUGUGGAGUGGGAACUCGAUAAAUGGCUCCUGAAUUGAACUGCAUUUGGAAGUUAGUGUAUUAACCAAACACCUCCUCCCUUGACUUAAAAUAGAAGGUUAAGAACGACUGUGGCCUCUUUGCCCCAACCCCAGACCUCUUCUUAGCACUUCUGUUUCUGUGCUGGGCCCAUGAGGGAAUCAGGAACCCCUAGCAAGCUGUGAGAAUGCGAAUGCUGUCCCAUGUCCAUUUGCCUAGACAUGGCGCCACUUUCCUGUCGUUUCUAACCCCUUCCCUGGCACUAUGUUGGAUCUGUGCCAGAUAAACCCAAGAGACUUGAAAUCUCCUCAAAUUAUAUCUCAGGAAAGCAAGGCCUCAACCCAGAUGUGUUUAGAUGCCCCAAACUCCCUCUAGAUAUUACUACCCCCAGUUCUCAAGAUACGGUCUCAAGGAAGCGGGGCAGGAAAGGCCUGGCUUAUCUCCCUCUCCUCUGCUUCUCCUCCCAGCCUGCAGGAGCUUUCUGCUGCCCCUUCCCACCUGGAGGAACUUCCCUCAGCUACCAACUAUAUCUUCCGCACUGUGACUUACAGUCAGGUCCCGUUAUCAGACUUCCAGGCUUGCAUAUGUAAGAGGAAAAUUUUUAAAUUUAGGAAUCCUCUUUCCACAAAGCCUCCAGCAACCCCACGUCAGCUUGGACGUUCAAGCUGAGCAGUGGCCCAUGGAAGCCAUAGCAUGAGAUGACUCACACAGAAAGGAAAAUACAAUGGUUUAUGAUGCUCAUUGGUGUCAUCCCAGCAUACUUAUGAAAGAAAACAUAUAUCAUGAUGUUAUUUCUGUAUAGUUUGCCAUAUCAUUUUAUACUUAUGUGUAUACAUUUAAAAUAAGUGGGAAGAGGGUACAGCAAAUAAAAGUGGGCUUUCCUGAGUGGUGGGAAUAGAUGUGAAUUUCGCCUCUUUCCUUUGGCUCAAGCAUAUUUUCUGAGUCCCUAUAAUCAAUAUAUGUUACCUUAGAGUAAAAAUAAAGAGACAAAAUUGAUGACUUCUAAUAUUUUAUAUGAAAUUUUAUAUAAAACAUACAAAUAUAUAUUUCAUAAAUAUAUAAGAAUAUAUAUGAGUAAGUGCAUAUCUUAUAUGUAAAGAAUUCUAUAUACCUCUUCAUUUAUAUAAUUAUAUGUUAUAUGACAUAAUAUGUAAUAUACAAUAUAAUGUAUACUGUACAUUAGUAUAUAGGUGACUAUUCAUAGAGCAGCAUUGGAAGGCAAUACAACAAAAUACUAUCAAUAGAUUUCCAGUUGUGUUUUUUGUAUUUUCCAAGUUUUUUGCAUUGAGCUUUUAUUAUUUUUGUAAUUAGGAGGAAAAAACUGCGUGUGUUUCACUUUGGUGAAGAUGAAAGUCUUCAAGUCAUUAUCUUUGUCUGCCCAGCCCAGGGCGUCUGCUUUUCUUAGCCUGAAAACAGAUGAAGAUUUGUUGCCAGCAAUGGCUCAUCCAAAAAUCUGACAUUUGCCCUGGACCUCUCCUCCUGCCUCCUUCCUCAUACUGGCUCACUAGUAAGCCCCCAGGCACUGAGCAACCCAGGACAAGAGGUCUGUCCAGUUAUCAUGGGUGCUUCUCCGACAGUCCAGGCUAGCUUUCCUCAGCAGGGACUUUCAUUUUGCCAACAGGGCUGGACUGGAAAGAGGCUGGAUCAAGGGUUUGGACUGUGUCUCCACAGGCUACCAUCUUGGGAGGGCCAGUGGCAGAUGCCAGGAGCUGGCUGGUGUCAGGGUACAAUCUGGUAGCCACCGAAGAGACCCUCGUCCUUGGAGGGUCUGUGAGCCCACAGACACCUGUUUGGCUUGACUCGCCUUGGCUGGGAGCAUUUCCGGCAGAGAUGAGUGCGAAAUGGAUGGGUGGUCGAGAGCUGAGACUGAGAGGGAAGAAAGGGUCUGCAGUGUUGAAAUGAGAUGUUUGUGAGCCCCUAUCUACAAACAGGCAAGUGCGGGCCUUAGACAAUGCUGCUGGCAAACUUGGAUCGAGUUUCAUUGUUUCCUGAAGCACUCCAGUGGAAGAGAAGGGUGGAACAGACUUGCUAGAGGUGCUCUCCACGUGAAAGGGAGGAUUAGAAGGAGCAAAUAGCCAGGAGGGCAAGGUGGACUCUGCGAUGACAGAGAGGAUGUGAGGGGUCAGGAUGUGAGCGGGAAAGCCAUUGCUGGGGAUUGCUGGGCACUAUGGUAGCAGUUCCUGGGUCCUUUCCGUGCCUGUGCUCCUGGCCUACUGCCCCCUACACGGAUUCAUGAGACCAAGAAGCAAAAGUGAGGGAAGAAGUGCUUUUCAGCAGAAGCACCCCAGAAACAAAGACAUUCCCACCAGUAGAGCUGCAGCACGGGGGACACUUGCCUCUCCCCCUGCCUCAUAACCAUGACUUUCUCACUCAAAGACUGUCCAUCUGUCCAGCCAUUCCGCCAAGCCCUGGAGCCCCAUGCUGAGUCCCUUUGGAAGAGUCCCAGCUCCUGGGGCGACCUCGGCAACAGCAGGGCCCACGGACUGCUCGGAUCCCAAACUUCCCAUCACAGGCAUGGGUCGGCCUGGCCCAUGGAAGUUAAAAUAACACGCUGGCUGUUUAUGAGCAAGAGUCCUCAAUAAAGUCAUUGGAUGGUUCCCUCGGCAGCGUGUCUAAUCUUCUCUGGCUGCCUUUCUGGGCCUGCAGCUCCUGAUCUAUUUUGGUCUCUCUCUUCUUUGACUCAUUCUGGGACUUCUGUGCCAUAAAUCCGAGCCCCCUCCAGGGCCUGGUCCCACCAGCAGGCAGACAAUUCAGAAUUAGCUGUGGUCAUGGUUGUCCAAACUGACAGUCAGGGAAACUGAGGCACAGCAGGCUACAGGGCUUUGUCCCACCUCCCACAGUGACCCAGCAGCACAGCUGCCAGCAAGGCCCAGGGUUCUGGCUGAGACUUUAAUACUGGAGCUUGCAGGGAAGGCUGGGGGCCAUGUGAACUGUUAUAAAGCUCUCAUUGGGCCAUACUUGGCCACAAAUCUCAGGACUGUGUGGCAAAUAGGAUUGCAGUGGGGGUGAUGUGUGUGUGUGUGUGUGUGUGUGUGUGUGUGUGUGUGUGUGUGUCAGUCACAGGCUUGAUUAUGGUGUUUGAAAUCUUCCCCAUGCCUGGAAUUUGACAAGCACAGAAUAGAGAAAGACCAGAAAACUCAAAAUAAUGGCAGCCAGAGAACAAAGAGCCUUCCCAAAGGCAUGGUUCAAGCUGUGGGCAAAAUGUCUUCCUGUUUCUCAUGUGAGGCCCCUGCCCCCAGGCCCAAGGGGCUGGCUGGGCUGGUUUGGCCUGUCCAAGGUCAUGACUGAACUCUGAUUCCUGCUGCUGCCCCAGGCCUCCCUGGGUGCCUGGCCUACGUGCUCUGGAGACUGGAGUGGAGGGUGGGGGAGGCAGGGAGGCUGUUAGGGUUUGAGAUACUUUCUAGGUGCCUCGGGGGACCUACAUAUUUCCUAUGUAAAGUUCAGUCUGUUUGCAAUUAGGCCUCUCUUCUUUGCUUGUUUCCGGAGAGAUUAAAAAUAGCGAAAUCAGCUUGAUCUGGGACUCUCUGAGAUCAACAAGGCCACUGUUUCCAACAGUAUGAAAAUACCAAGCAGUCCCACCCACAUUCAUGGGUCACACUGCGUGGCAGGCCUGGUAGGCUUUCUGUAAUGAAGGAACUUUAAGUUGCAUGAAUUCUCAACAGAUAAGACUCUGUCUUUUGGACCCCAGGAAGAUAGCUUCAACUAAAAUGGAAGGGGUUCCGCACUGUUUAGGGCCUGAAAUCCUUUCUGUCCUUCUAAACGAGCUCAAAGCUGUGAAAGCCUUUUCAGGAAAAUCUACCUUGGUUCACUUAUUUCACCAAUUUUAGCCUUUCCUUAGGGAUUUGGGCUCAGAGUGGAUCCUGGGCAGCUGUAGAUAUAAGGACGCUGCUCUUGACCGGUCACCAUCAGCACAACCAAUGCCGGG